rnacentral:rRNA from 1 species
GAUGAACGCUAGCGGCAGGCCUAAUACAUGCAAGUCGAACGGUAACAUGAGUAGCAAUACUUGAUGACGAGUGGCGCACGGGUGCGUAACGCGUAUGCAAUCUACCUUUAACUGGUGAAUAGCCCGAAGAAAUUCGGAUUAAUACACCAUAGUAUAUUUGAAUGGCAUCAUUUAAAUAUUAAAACUCCGGUGGUUAAAGAUGAGCAUGGGUGACAUUAGCUAGUUGGUGAGGUAAUGGCUCACCAAGGCUACGAUGUCUAGGGGAUCUGAGAGGAUUAACCCCACCAGUGGAACUGGGACACGUACCAGACUCCUACGGGAGGCAGCAGUAACGAAUAUUGGACAAUGGUCGAAAGACUGAUCCAGCCAUUCCGCGUGAAGGAUGACGGCCCUAUGGGUUGUAAACUUCUUUUGUAUGGGAAAAAACCCUUCUACGUGUAGAAGGCUGAUGGUACCAUAAGAAUAAGGAUCGGCUAACUCCGUGCCAGCCGCCGCCGUAA